CAGCGCGGGGCGGGCCCGGCGCGGCGCGCGCGGCGGCUGCAGGGGGACGUGAGGCCCGUGAGGUGGAUCCCAGGGAUGUGGCGGCUCUCAGAGGCUGCGAGGGGCUCACGGCAGCAGCUCCCUGCUUGUCUGGAUGCUCUGAUUAGCAAGACCUGCUGGGAUAGGAGACUGGAAGUGAGAGGAAGAAUGACAAAUCAGGCACUUUCUCUCACUGGAACACCCGAGCCAGACAUUUCUCCACCAGCAAUAUUGUUCGGGCCACGGCUGCUGCCUGCUCGCCUCUUCUGAAAAGAAACGUUAGCAAAUGUAUCUGUGCAGUCAUUUCCUUAAAGGAUCUCUCACAGAUAAUGCAGUGUCCUCAUUGCCAGGGAAAUCACACGCCCAGCUGCAUGACAGCUUCGUGACUUAGGAGAUCUUGGAACAAAUCCUUUGGGCAAUCCCAGGCUCCGAGCAAUCAGAAGAUCUCUUCAUGUGACUUGGAAAACUUAUUUCCCUCCAGCCUGAGCCGAGCGAGAAGAAAAAAAAAAAAAAAAAAACUUGUUCCGCUGAGUUCAACCCCAGACAGGCUCACAACUUCCUUCCUGCUCCCUCCUACCCCCUCCCUCCGCACUCCUCCUCCUCGCCGCUCCUCUCCCUCUCCUUCUCCUCCUCCUGCUCUUUCCGCCUUUCCAGCAGCACUGGGAGCGGACGCCGGGGCCGCGGCGCGGAGCUGCGCGGAGCUGC